rnacentral:rRNA from 1 species
AACGAACGCUGGCGGCAUGCCUAACACAUGCAAGUCGAACGAGACCUUCGGGUCUAGUGGCGCACGGGUGCGUAACGCGUGGGAACCUGCCCUUAGGUUCGGAAUAACUCCCCGAAAGGGGUGCUAAUACCGGAUAAUGUCUUCGGACCAAAGAUUUAUCGCCUUUGGAUGGGCCCGCGUUGGAUUAGCUAGUUGGUAGGGUAAAAGCCUACCAAGGCGACGAUCCAUAGCUGGUCUGAGAGGAUGAUCAGCCACACUGGGACUGAGACACGGCCCAGACUCCUACGGGAGGCAGCAGUGGGGAAUAUUGGACAAUGGGCGAAAGCCUGAUCCAGCAAUGCCGCGUGAGUAAUGAAGGCCUUAGGGUUGUAAAGCUCUUUUACCCGGGAUGAUAAUGACAGUACCGGGAGAAUAAGCUCCGGCUAACUCCGUG